GAGACGCCCCGCCCCCUUUCACCGGAGAGGGUUCCCAGUCCCCAGUCCCUCGCCACGCCCCGGCGUCAGGGUGCCUGUUGGGCCGCAGCCCAGGGGCGGAGCGGCGCCUGCUCAGCUCCACCCUGAAGUUGAGCCUCGACAACCCCACCUCUUUCGACAUCACGCCUGCGCAGUCAUCCCGCGACACCGCCCAGGCCCUAUGCGCGUGCGCACACCCGGCGUUCCCGUGAGUCAGUGCGAGGCGCGGGAGGCGCGGAGAGUGGUGUCGUCCUGCCUUUGCCUGUGAAGCGAGCAGUGGGAUCUUCCUGAGGAGGAAUAAUAGAUUGUAAAAGUAUUUUUUCCCUUCUCAGUGGACUUAAUGUGAAACUUAGUUUUGUUUCUGUUUGGAUUUACUUUCUAAAAAUCAACACCAUAAACCCGUAUCAGAUAUUUAAAAAUAGAGUAAACCAUGAGUUGUGGAAACGAGUUUGUGGGAACAUUAAAAAAAAUCGGUUAUCCUAAAGCUGAUAGUCUUAAUGGAGAAGAUUUUGACUGGUUGUUUGAGACUGUUGAAGAUGAAUUAUUUUUGAAGUGGUUUUGUGGGAAUGUGAAUGAACAGAAUAUAUUGUCUGAAAAAGAAUUGGAAGCUUUUAGCAUUCUUCAAAAAUCAGGCAAACCCAUCCUAGAAGGGGCGGCAUUGGAUGAAGUUCUGAAGACCUGUAAAACUUCUGAUUUGAAGACACCUCGACUAGGUGACAAAGAGCUGGAGAAAUUAGAGAGUGAGGUUCAAACUCUGCAGAAAUUAAAGAACCUAAAAAUUCAGCGACGUAACAAAUGCCAAUUGAUGGCUUCAGUCACGAGCCACAGAUCUCUGAGGUUAAAUGCUAAAGAAGCAGCCACUAAGAAGCUGAAGCAGAGUCAAGGAAUUCUAAAUGCAAUGAAUGCUAAGAUCAAUAAUGAACUUCAAGCUCUUACUGAUGGAGUUACAAAGUUGAUGAUGUUCUUCAGACAAUCUAAUUUGGGUCAAGGGACAAAUCCACUGGUGUUUUUAUCUCAGUUUUCUUUGGAAAAGUAUCUAAGCCAGGAAGAGCAAAGCACAGCAGCGUUAACCUUAUAUACCAAAAAGCAGUUCUUUCAGGGUAUACAUGAAGUAGUUGAAAGUUCAAAUGAAGAAAAUUUUCAACUUUUAGAUAUACAAGCACCAUCUAUUUGUGAUAAUCAAGAAAUUCUUGAGGAGAGACGACUAGAGAUGGUUAGGCUGCAGCUAGCAUACAUUUGUGCUCAACAUCAGUUAAUUCACUUGAAAGCAAGUAAUUUGAGCAUGAACCCAGGGGCGGAGCGGCGCCUGCUCAGCUCCACCCUGAAGUUGAGCCUCGACAACCCCACCUCUUUCGACAUCACGCCUGCGCAGUCAUCCCGCGACACCGCCCAGGCCCUAUGCGCGUGCGCACACCCGGCGUUCCCGUGA